GAAGAUGAUUAUUGCUUCAAGUGGUCAAUUUUAGCAUCAUUUGCAUAUAGGCGGCACUUGAGCACUACAUUCUCAACUGCAAACCAAAAAAAAAAAGCGCGAGAUAAGUUAACAAACCCUUCAUAUUAUCGAAUGAUAGACAUCAGACAAGACAUAAUUUGCUAUGACGGAGUGAGACUGGAUUUUUCUGGGAUUGAGUUUCCAAUCACAAACAAAGGAAUAAAGAGAUUUGAAUUAUCCAAUCCUAAUAUUAGCAUAAAUGUGUAUGAAAUCGAUGACAAUGGAAAGAACGUAGUAGGACCAACAGUGAGGACUAAAGGAAUUCGAGGACAUCACAUCAACCUAUUAGGAAUUAAUAAUGACUCUUUGCAAAUGAUGCAUUAUGCCUAUAUAACGUGCAUGAAAAAAUUAUGCUAUUCUCAACAUAAUAAAUCCCAUUGCUCUGCAUAUUUUUGUGAAAAUUGUUUACAAUUUUAUACUACCACAAAUACCACCCAUGACAAUAAAGAGUGCGGAAAAGUUGCUGCACAAUAUCCUACUCCAAAUACCAAAACGGUUUUUAAAAGUUUCAUCAAAAAACUAUCUCCCCCUGUGGUCAUUUAUGCUGAUAUCGAAGCUGUAUUGGAAAGUUUUCAUAGGAAUCUGAAUGAUCCCUUAAAAUCAUCUACCACUAUGGCUCAGAAGCAUACGGCAUGUGCAGUGUCAUUUUAUGUUGUACAUAACUAUAAUCAUCAUUUAAAUGAGAUGUGGACAUAUGAAGGACCAGAUUGUAUCGAUCAAUUCUGCCAAGUGCUUCGAUCGAAAACCAUGGGACUUUAUGAGAAGUACUGG